UGACGAUCGGAUCAGGUAGGAAUACCCGCGACUUA
rnacentral:rRNA from 1 species